rnacentral:misc_RNA from 1 species
UUUCCGUAGGUGAACCUGCGGAAGGAUCAUUACAGAGUUCAUGCCCGAAAGGGUAGACCUCCCACCCUUGUGUAUUAUUACUUUGUUUCUUUGGCGUGGGCAAGCUCGCAAGAGAAUACCAAAACUCUUUUUAUUAAUGUCGUCUGAGUACUAUAUAAUAGUUAAAACUUUCAACAACGGAUCUCUUGGUUCUG